GACAGAGGGUGCAACGUUGCUCGGAAUUACUGGGCGUAAAGCGCGUGUAGGCGGACCAGCAAGUCGGACGUGAAAUCCCUGAGCUCAACUCAGGAACUGCAUCCGAAACUGCUGGUCUGGAGUGGUGGAGAGGGAAGCAGAAUUCCUGGUGUAGAGGUGAAAUUCGUAGAUAUCAGGAGGAACACCGGUGGCGAAGGCGGCUUCCUGGACACUUACUGACGCUGAGACGCGAAAGCGUGGGGAGCGAACAGG
rnacentral:rRNA from 1 species